GAUUAGAUCUCACUGUCCCUCAGUGUUUGUUUUAAAUACUCCUUUUUUGUGAGCCAGGUUCUGAUGACUCCUUAGAUGUGAAGGUGAGUCUUAACGGAGGUGAGGAAAGCAUGUGUUAUUAAGGAAAGGUGAUCUUAUUUGUGCUUCUGAAGUUUUUAGGGUAGGAAUCGCCUUGAGCCAUCCGUCAGGAAGAACAGGCCAAGUCUGGGCAGUACGAGUCUUACGGGCCAAUUCAACUGAAAUAAUAAUGUGCUGAUGUAAGAGUUUCCAGAGUGACAGGAAACCUCUGUGCAUAAAAUUUGUAUCCGGUGCACAGACGCUAAGGGACGGGGAGGAGAGAACACAGACAGUCCUGCUGGGGCAGAGCAGACAGAACGCGAGGCCAGGGGGCCACGAGGCGGCAUCUGGUCGUUCUCUAGAAACACUCGGCCUGCACGUCCGGGAGGAUGGAAUGGGCGUGUGUUCCUUCUUCCCCCGCAAAAUACCGCUGGAAACCCCGCGAGCAGGAGUGAGCCAGACAGAGGAAGACACUGAGAGGAGGAGCGGAGGCCGCCCAGCUCGGGACCCCAGGAAAACCAGGCGUGGGGUGUCGGGGCUCUUCCUUGUCCUCAUACCCCAAACUACAAGCUGGCGGAGCCGGCAGCCCAGAAAGGGACGCGGACUCAGACCCGAGAAGCCCGAGCCUGCUGUCCAGCCGGAGGGCCAGGGACCGAGCAGCUGCAGAAACUGCUCACUAAGGGAGUCUGGGAAGUGGGCUGGGAUGUUUGGUUCUGAGAAAUCUUCGGGGGACUGGAAAUGUCUUGCAUUGAAAGUGAAGGUUCUUAUUUUAUUUUAAAACUGGAUUCUGUUUCUCUCUGACUCAGGGUUAGAGGGAACCAACAAAAGAGGAAACAGGAAAUCUUGAUCAGAAUCUUCUAGAAGGAAUGCUGAAGAAAUAGGGGGCAUUCCUGUGACACUGAAGUCACUCUGGAUCCUGGAAGGCAGUGUGAAGGCGUGGCACCCACUCGCCAAAUUCCCCCAGGGCAGAGUUAAGGUCUCCUUGGUGCACGUGCUCCAGCCACCUCAGGACCACAGGUGUGUCCUUCUGAGAGCAGGUACUGUCCUUUCGAAUACCCCUGCAGCCCUGUGGCGGGCACUGAGCACAGACCCGGCGGGCGUCUGGAAAUCCACCAAGUACCAGAGUUCAGACUAAGAGACAGACAGAGAAUCAUCCUGCCGCCUCAGGAGUGUCCUAACUAACUCCUUGCACCAUAGACUUGCAAGUCCACGCGGAAACAGACUGCAGACCGGCCAGUAAAGCCCAGCCUCCCCCACAAUCUCC